rnacentral:rRNA from 1 species
CAUUUUGAACCGCAUGGUUCGAAAUUGAAAGGCGGCUUCGGUCUGUCACUUAUGGAUGGACCCGCGUCGCAUUGAGCUAGUUGGAUGAGGUAACGGCUCACCAAGGCGUAAACGAUGCGUAGCCGACCUGAGAGGGUGAUCGGCCACACUGGGACUGAGACUACGGCCCAGACUCCUACGGGAGGCAGCAGUAGGGAAUCUUCCGCAAUGGACGAAAGUCUGACGGAGCAACGGGGGCCCGCGUGAGUGAUGAAGGCUUUCGGGUCGUAAAACUCUGUUGUUAGGGAAGAACAAGUGCUAGUUGAAUAAGCUGGCACCUUGACGGUACCUAACCAGAAAGCCACGGCUAACUACGUGCCAGCAGCCGCGGUAAUACGUAGGUGGCAAGCGUUAUCCGGAAUUAUUGGGCGUAAAGCGCGCGCAGGUGGUUUCUUAAGUCUGAUGUGAAAGCCCACGGCUCAACCGUGGAGUUGGUCAUUGGAAACUGGGAGACUUGAGUGCAGAAGAGGAAAGUGGAAUUCCAUGUGUAGCGGUGAAAUGCGUAGAGAUAUGGAGGAACACCAGUGGCGAAAGCGACUUUCUGGUCUGUAACUGACACU